rnacentral:lncRNA from 1 species
CUUUUUAGCCAUAUAUGCUCACGAUUCAUAGCCCCACACAUAUCUAAGUAAACUGUUGGACAGUAUGUCUAGCCUGAAAUAGCAAGAGUUCUAAUCUCCAGUCUACAUUGGACUCAACAUGUUACAUGCUUCAUCGUUCAACAAAAUAUUGAUGCUGAAGGGAAAAUGCUAACAAGUGAGAAAAAAAAAACCAUUUAUCCAAAAGUGAAGAAUAGUAGAAGAAGGCAGCCCAGUUUUCGACUGCAUGUUCCAGGUUCGUCAGAGAGGAGAUUGAUCAAUUUCACUCAACUGUCGACUCGAAUAUUGGAUGUUUUUAAAAAAGAAAAUCUUCUGUAGACAUAAGACACCAGAUCUUCAAAUCAGAAAUUCAAAUUCAGAAAUUCAAAUCUCAAAAAAGAUCUUCAACAGAUCUAGAAACACAAAGGUGAUGGAAUUCAUCUAUGUGGCUGAUAGAGCUCUACCGCUUGCAGCAUCUAGCCCGAUGUCGUUAAAGAUUUCCAUCACGGCCCCAUGGAUAACUCGCUUUCUUGGAUCUACUCAUUGGCAACGGUUUUUCUGCACAAACGGUCUCAACUCGUUGAGCGAAUUCGCUUUGUAAGUUCGAACCCUCUAUAUGCGUGUCCCGCUGAGAAGAAAUGGCGACCAAAGCCGGCAACACGGGCAAUGGAAGCUUGGGAUGGGACAGUUUUUUUUUUUCUGAACAUGUUUUCUACAAAAAAUGCAUUGACAGACAAGUCAAGCAAGACAAGAGGAAGCUAUGUGAACAUAAUCAAGGCCAUGGGUAAUCUUCAGGUUUAUUCACCAACUUUGGGGAAGUCACAUGAAAAGAUGCAGGGUACAUACCAGCAUGUGUAUUUUUCUGAAUCUUUUACUCAAGCAGUUGGUGCUGUUGCAUUACAGCCACAGGAAGGAAAAUUAUGCUUUUCUUUAGAAAAUUGGAAAGCUACUGGAGUAAUCUGGUGUUGAUGCUCAUUUGAUUCAUUUCGUGCCAGCUAGUGAAAGCCGAAAGGCAUGUCGAAUUCAAGUUGAGCUGCUGCGGGCUGUCUCUGGAAGCAAGCAAUCCAGCCGUUGCGUUCAGUCAUUUGAACAGGAAUCUAAUGGCUGUCAAUAGGUGGCUGUCAAAACUUUGCUGGAAUGUCCACCAGAUAGCGCUAGUGUCUUUAGGGACGCAUUUCGGCCAUUUUGUUCCAAGACGCAGCAGAAAUGGUUGUUGGUCGUGACGUUUCUCACGAUGAAAAUUAAAAGGUUAUUUGUCACGUAGAAACCAAUUUGCCAAAUCAUUCAUCUCAGACUUGGAAUUGCCUGUACAUUGCCGAAAUGGCGUGCCUCGUGUGUCUCGCUGCCUGUUCUUAGGCGUACGUCUCAUCCCAUGCAAUAGUGAAAAGCAUAACAAACACUUCUUUAACGCUGUUGGAUGUUGCAGCUGAAUGGGGAAAGGUGUGACAAAGACAGAUUGAACCGUUGUAUGCAGCAUGAGGUUGCAGUGUAAUCCAGAAGUAGCUGCGCUGGUGUUACCCUUAAAUUGCUGUGCUGUUGUAGCUGAGCUGUUCCAUCUGGGUUCCUGACUUGAAAAUUUUUGUGUUGUUGUUUGCUUGCCAGUAUUUUGUAUUGUGAUUUCAAAUAGUUUGAUCUGUCGUCUUUUGAGUUUUCAUCAAUCAUGCAGUAUACGACUGAGGCAACCUGAUCAAUGUCAGGUUUGACACAGUCGAGAACUGCUAGAUAAAACAAGCUUUCUGCGCCAAACAAAUAAUAAUUUGCAUAUAACUUGCAUCAUGUUAUUAUCGCGGUAGAGAAAGCGACAGGCCUCCCCCCGCCCUGGGGGCCACAGGAAAAAUAUGUAUGACAAUAUUAUAAAUUUUGAAAAAAAACUUGUUAAAUUGUUCGAAUAAAAUUUUCGCGAUAAUUUUUUAAAUAACUUUGUAAAUUUUCCAAAAACAAGUCUGGACUUAAAGGGAAUUUAAUAAUGCUGCAAAAAUUAAGAUUUUGAAUUU